AGGUGCUGCAUGGUUGUCGUCAGCUCGUGCCGUGAGGUGUCGGGUUAAGUCCCAUAACGAGCGCAACCCCUACCUUUAGUUGCCAUCAGGUUAAGCUGGGGACUCUAAAGGAACUGCCUACGCAAGUAGUGAGGAAGCGGGGAUGACGUCAAAUCAGCACGGCCCUUACGUCCAGGGCUACACACGUGCUACAAUGGCCGAUACAGAGGGCAGCUACCUGGUGACAGGAUGCAAAUCUCCAAAGUCGGUCUCAGUUCGGAUCGGAGUCUGCAACCCGACUCCGUGAAGUUGGAUUCGCUAGUAAUCGCGCAUCAGCCAUGGCGCGGUGAAUACGUUCCCGGGCCUU
rnacentral:rRNA from 1 species